AACGAACGCUGGCGGCAUGCCUGACACAUGCAAGUCGAACGAGACCUCCGGGUCUAGUGGCGCACGGGUGCGUAACGCGUGGGUACCUGCCCUUAGGUUCGGAAUAACUCCCUGAAGGGGGUGCUAAUACCGGAUAAUGUCCUCGGACCAAAGAUUUAUCGCGUUUGGAUGGGCGCGCGUUGGAUUAGCCGGUUGGUAGGGUAAAAGCCUACCAAGGCGAGGAUCCAUAGCUGGUAUGAGAGAAUGAUCCGCGACACUGGGACUAAGACACGGCCCAGAAUCCUACGGAAGGCAGGAGAGGGGAAUAUUGGACAAUGGGGGAAAGGAUGAUCCAGCAAUGCCGCGUGAGUGAUGAAGGCCGUAGGGAUGUAAAGCUCUUUUACCCGGGGUGAUAAUGACGGUACCGGGAGAAUAAGCACCGGCUAACUCCGUG
rnacentral:rRNA from 1 species